rnacentral:lncRNA from 1 species
GGGAGAGUAUCCAGUGGAUUUCAUGUCGGUAAAUGUAGUUGUUUCUGCAGAGUUUCAAUUAGGGCUAGGAUGACGAUGAGAUGGAGCCCUUUAUAUAGAAGGAGAGAAAGGGGAAGGUGAAACGAAACCAUUAAAGCAAGAUUAAAGAGCAUAAUAUACUAAUGAAGAGGGAUAACUGUAACAGCGAAGUGUUUGGUGCUGAGAAAUUGAUCAGUAAUGACGAAGAGGAAUAGUCGGGGAAGAGUCACGCUUCAGAAAUGGCGAGAUGGGUUGGACUCGAGUAGUUUAAUAAAUGUAAACACAACCCAAAUGAAAACACAGAUUCAUGGCCCAAGAAUUCUUGAUG